rnacentral:rRNA from 1 species
UGCGUAAUAGCUCACUGGUCGAGAGUCUCUGCGCCGACAAUGUAACGGGGCUAAGAUAUAAACCGAAGCUGUGGAAUGUACGUAAGUAUAUUGGUAGGAGAGCGUUGUGUAGGCCGGUGAAGGUGUACUGAAAAGAGCACUGGAGGUAUCACAAGUGAGAAUGCAGGAAUGAGUAGCGAAAAAGAGGGUGAGAAUCCCUCUCGUCGGAAGUCCAAGGUUUCCAGGGCAAUGCUUGUCAUCCCUGGGGAAGUCGGGACCUAAGCUGAGGCUUAUAAGCGUAGGCGAAUGGAAAACAGGUUAAUAUUCCUGUACCAGUUAUGUUUUGUGAUGGAGGGACGCAGAAGGGUAGAUACGCUAGGCGACGGUUGUCCUAGUGCAAGCAUGUAGUGUGGUCAGAUAGGAAAAUCCGUUUGAUUAGACAUGAGGUGUGAUGCGGAGCACGUAAGUGCGGAAGGUAUUGAUCCCACGCUGCCAAGAAAAGCUUCUAACGUUAAGGCAUAACUGCCCGUACUGUAAACCGACACAGGUGGACAGCGUGAGAAACGUAAGGCGGACAGGCUAACUCUCGCUAAGGAACUCUGCAAAAUGGCCCCGUAACUUCGGGAGAAGGGGUGCCUUUGAUGGUGAUGGUUCACGCAACCUGAGCUGUCGGAGGCCGCAGUGAAAAGACUCAAGCGACUGUUUAACAAAAACACAGGUCUAUGCUAAGCUGAAAGGCGAUGUAUAUGGGCUGACACCUGCCCAGUGCCGGAAGGUUAAGAGGAGGAGUGAGAGCUCCGAAUUGAAGCCCCGGUGAACGGCGGCCGUAACUAUAACGGUCCUAAGGUAGCGAAAUUCCUUGUCGGGUAAGUUCCGACCUGCACGAAUGGUGUAACGAUUUGAGUGCUGUCUUGGCGGGAGGCCUGGUGAAGUUGUAUUACCGGUGAAGAUACCGGUUACCUGCAGCAGGACGGAAAGACCCCAUGGAGCUUUACUGUAGCUUGGUAUUGGGUCUUGAUGCUGUGUGUAUAGGAUAGUUGGGAGACUUUGAUUGUAGGCCGCCAGGUUUACAUGAGUCGUUGGUGGAAUACCAACCACGCAGUAUUGGGAUUCUAAUCUGAGGUGUGUAGCCUCGGAGACAGUGCUAGGUGGGCAGUUUGACUGGGGCGGUCGCCUCCGAAAGAGUAACGGAGGCGCUCAAAGGUUCCCUCAG